UACGGGGGGGGCAAGCGUUGUUCGGAAUUAUUGGGCGUAAAGCGUCCGCAGGUGGCUAUGUAAGUCUGCUGUUAAAGAGUGAGGCUCAACCUCAUAAGAGCAGUGGAAACUACAUAGCUAGAGUGCGUUCGGGGCAGAGGGAAUUCCUGGUGUAGCGGUGAAAUGCGUAGAUAUCAGGAAGAACACCGGUGGCGAAAGCGCUCUGCUAGGCCGCAACUGACACUGAGGGACGAAAGCUAGGGGAGCGAAUGGG
rnacentral:rRNA from 1 species